rnacentral:rRNA from 1 species
GUACACGCUGUGACUAGCAUAUCAAUAAGCGGAGGAAAAGAAACUAACAAGGAUUCCCCUAGUAACGGCGAGUGAAGCGGGAAGGGCUCAAAUUUGAAAUCUUAAAGGGUUUCCCUUUACGAAUUGUAGUUUAAAGAAGUGUUUUCUGUUGAGGUUUUGGUAAAAGUUCUUUGGAAUAGGACAUCAUAGAGGGUGAGAAUCCCGUAUUUGACCUUUACUUUCAACUUUGUGAUACACUUUCAAAGAGUCGGAUUGUUUGGGAAUGCAGUCCAAAAUGGGUGGUAAAUUUCAUCUAAAGCUAAAUAUUGGCGAGAGACCGAUAGCGAACAAGUACCGUGAGGGAAAGAUGAAAAGAACUUUGAAAAGAGAGUUAAACAGUACGUGAAAUUGUCAAAAGGGAAGCGUUUGACACCAGUGUUGUUUUUCUGAAAAUCAAUUAAAGAACUGUUUAUGCUAAGUUGUUUAGACUUUAUCAGCUAACUGUUUAGUUUUGAGCUUUUCUUUAAUGCACUUUUCAGUUAACAAGUCAACAUCAAUUUCUUUUGCUGUAAAAAAGCUUGAGGAAGGUGGCUUGAGAUUCGUCUUAAGUGUUUAUAGCCUCUUGCCUAUGCAGUCGGAGAGAUUGAGGUCUGCAGCGUAGAUCCUUCGGGGCUAAAUGCAUUUGUGCUAAGUUAUAGCAUUUUCAUAGACAACUUGUUGACUAUGAUUUGUCUUGUAGCUUACUCGCUUAUGUUAUUUUACCUACGCUUAGGAUGUUGACAGCAGUAUAGACUGU